GAUGCAGUGUGAUCCAUUGCCAUCCUCAUUGAUAUCCAAGGAAGCACCAAGGGCUCUCAUGGCCUUCACAUUUGUGGACCCCUGGUCACAGACAAUGCAUUUGACCUGAAAGUAAGAUCACUGUCGAGGCGGGUGACGGCUUCCCUCAGUUUCCUGGCAAUUUCCUCACCUGGCAUGGCAGUUUUGGACAGGAAAUAGGCAAUUGCCUAAAAGGUGAAGUGUGAGGGAGGAAAGAUGUUUUUAAUAUUUGUACAUGUAUGUACUCUUCUGAGUGUACACACAUAGUAGUGUUUCUGAACUUUGUGGAUGCUUCCAAAUGUUUACUGUACUGUUUGUACAUUGUGCCCAUUUAUAUUUUGCUACCUGCUUCCAUUUUCCAUUUAUGGUCCUAACCAGGAAUACCAUAGCAUGACGAGCCUGGGAGCCAUCUGGUGUAAGACCAUCAAUUGAGUCUGUUUUCCUGUUGUAGUCAAGGUGGCCUUUUAUAGACAUCUCGUCCAGCACAAGGGAACACAUCUUCUCUUCCUUUGUCAUGGUCUUUGUUUUUGUUUUAAUUUUUGCAAGAACACCAUGCAGAAAUCCAGGCUACAGAAUAAAUGGAAGUAUUGCUCUGUGUUAAAUCUUGCAUACUCUGCGAUGACAUUCAUGACUACAUUAAAGUUGCAAACGUGUAUUUGUGCACUCAUGAUGUCAGAAUAGCGCAAGUUUAUGUGGGUUGAGUUACGCGGCAUAAGUAGAGGGUGUGUCAAUGCGAUAUGUUUUUAACUCACAUCAAAGCUCCCCAGACUGCCCAUUACGUGCCUCCUUAGAGUUGUUUUACUGGGCAGCUUAAAUACUCUCUGGAGUUCAGAGUAGCACCUUGGGAUGUGGUGGAACAGUUGGACUGCCAAAUCCUUCUCGCUGGUCUUAUAUAUCUGGCCAUGUUUGGCCACCCUGCCCAUGGCAAUUUGCAUCUCAAAGAAAUCUUUGGUUGCCUUUGGAAGGCAGUCAGUGGCCAGUGACUCCCUGCUCUUUCCUGCUGUCUGCUGAUGUUGCAGUCUGCAAGUAAAAUGACUGGAAUAAUUACAGUUAUGUACAUUACAUUUUAUUAUCACAACGUGUGCUAUUACACUGCUCACAUACUGUUUUUGGAGUUUUCUUAUUUUAAAGUUCAUAUGGAACUUGAGCUGCCGCAUUUUGGCCCUCUCUCCCUGCAGGAGCCUUUUAUGUUCCUUGAUUUUCUGUAAAUUUAUUAUAGGAUGUUAAUAUGAUACAGUUUCUAUGAGUAAAGAAUCAUGUUGGAUAUGCAGCGAUCACUAAUGCCAUUUCACCUUGUCUUUCUCAUUAAGUAACUCUGCCACAACCACUUGACACUGUGGAGUGUCUUGCAAUGGCACCACUUCAGGAAGACCGGGGUGUGCAGCCGAUAAAGGACAGGGAUGGCUUUGGGAGCCAGCCGCUUUCUUUUACCCUUAAAAAAAUGGUAACUUUAUACAGGUACAUUACUACAUUAACAGUGUUUUUCAGUCUCUGUCUAUACAAUACAUUGUUAUUGCUGAUAAAGUGCAAACCUGCUUAUAUUUAAAUAAUGGAGAACAUUAUUGACCAUACUUUUGAUAUUAGGUCCUCUGGCCUGAAAUGAUCUUCACAGACCACAUAUCCUCCCCUUUCUGCCUCUGUUUUUGUUAUGUGGGAGGACAGACCUCCCCUCCUCACAUUAUGAAGCCAUUUCUGUCUCCUGUGUUGAUUAAUAUUUUAAUAAAAUACAUCAUCAGAA